rnacentral:rRNA from 1 species
CUAAUACCGAAUGGUUCCUACGGGAUAAAGAUUUAUCGCCAAAAGAUGAGUCCGCGUCCGAUUAGCUAGUUGGUGAGGUAAUGGCUCACCAAGGCGACGAUCGGUAGCUGGUCUGAGAGGACGAUCAGCCACACUGGGACUGAGACACGGCCCAGACUCCUACGGGAGGCAGCAGUGGGGAAUAUUGGACAAUGGGGGCAACCCCUGAUCCAGCCAUGCCGCGUGAGUGAUGAAGGCAUUCGGGUUGUAAAGCUCUUUUGGCGGGGACGAUGAUGACGGUACCCGCAGAAUAAGCCCCGGCUAACUUCGUGCCAGCAGCCGCGGUAAGACGAAGGGGGCUAGCGUUGUUCGGAAUUACUGGGCGUAAAGCGCGUGUAGGCGGUUGUUCAAGUCAGGUGUGAAAGCCUUGAGCUCAACUCAAGAAAUGCACUUGAUACUGGAUGACUAGAGGACCGGAGAGGAUAGUGGAAUUCCCAGUGUAGUGGUGAAAUACGUAGAGAUUGGGAAGAACACCAGUGGCGAAGGCGGCUAUCUGGACGGUUUCUGACGCUAAGACGCGAAAGCGUGGGGAGCAAACA